rnacentral:rRNA from 1 species
UACGUAGGUGGCGAGCGUUGUCCGGAAUCACUGGGCGUAAAGGGCGUGUAGGCGGUUAUUUAAGUCAGGUGUGAAAACUAACGGCUUAACCGGGAGAUUGCACCUGAUACUGGGUGACUUGAGUGCAGGAGAGGGCAGUGGAAUUCCUAGUGUAGCGGUGAAAUGCGUAGAUAUUAGGAGGAACACCAGUGGCGAAGGCGGCUGCCUGGACUGUAACUGACGCUGAGGCGCGAAAGCGUGGGGAG